UUCCAUCCCUGGUCAGGUUCCUGU
rnacentral:misc_RNA from 1 species